rnacentral:rRNA from 1 species
AACCUGGUUGAUCCUGCCAGUAGUCAUAUGCUUGUCUCAAAGAUUAAGCCAUGCAUGUCUAAGUGUAAAUAAGUCUAUACUGUGAAACUGCGAAUGGCUCAUUAAAUCAGUUAUCGUUUAUUUGAUGAUCUCUUAUUACUUGGAUAACCGUAGUAAUUCUAGAGCUAAUACAUGCACACAAUCCCGACUUCUGGAAGGGAUGUAUUUAU